CUACGGGUUGCUCCAGUGGGGAAUAUUGGACAAUGGGGGAAACCCUGAUCCAGCAAUGCCGCGUGUGUGAAGAAGGCCUGCGGGUUGUAAAGCACUUUCGGUUGGGAGGACUGCUUCUAGCACUAAUAUUGUUGGAAGUUGACGUUACCUUCAGAAGAAGCACCGGCUAACUCCGUGCCAGCAGCCGCGGUAAUACGGAGGGUGCAAGCGUUAAUCGGAACUACUGGGCGUAAAGCGCGCGUAGGCGGCUAGAUCAGUCGGGUGUGAAAGCCCCGGGCUUAACCUGGGAACUGCAUCCGAUACUGUCUAGCUUGAGUACAGGAGAGGAGAGUGGAAUUCCACAUGUAGCGGUGAAAUGCGUAGAUAUGUGGAGGAACACCAAUGGCGAAGGCAGCUCUCUGGCCUGAUACUGACGCUGAGGUUCGAAAGCGUGGGGAGCAAACAGGAUUAGAUACCCGCGUAGUC
rnacentral:rRNA from 1 species